GUUGGUUGAAAGAUGGUUCUGCUAUCACUAAGAGAUGGACCCGCGGUGCAUUAGCUAGUUGGUAAGGUAAUGGCUUACCAAGGCAAUGAUGCAUAGCCGAGUUGAGAGACUGAUCGGCCACAAUGGGACUGAGACACGGCCCAUACUCCUACGGGAGGCAGCAGUAGGGAAUCUUCCACAAUGGGCGCAAGCCUGAUGGAGCAACGCCGCGUGUGUGAUGAAGGGUUUCGGCUCGUAAAACACUGUUAUAAGAGAAGAACGGCACUGAGAGUAACUGUUCAGUGUGUGACGGUAUCUUACCAGAAAGGAACGGCUAAAUACGUGCCAGCAGCCGCGGUAAUACGUAUGUUCCAAGCGUUAUCCGGAUUUAUUGGGCGUAAAGCGAGCGCAGACGGUUAUUUAAGUCUGAAGUGAAAGCCCUCAGCUCAACUGAGGAAUUGCUUUGGAAACUGGAUGACUUGAGUGCAGUAGAGGAAAGUGGAACUCCAUGUGUAGCGGUGAAAUGCGUAGAUAUAUGGAAGAACACCAGUGGCGAAGGCGGCUUUCUGGACUGUAACUGACGUUGAGGCUCGAAAGUGUGGGUAGCAAACAGGAUUAGAUACCCUGGUAGUCCACACCGUAAACGAUGAGUGCUAGAUGUUCGAGGGUUUCCGCCCUUGAGUGUCGCAGCUAACGCAUUAAGCACUCCGCCUGGGGAGUACGACCGCAAGGUUGAAACUCAAAGGAAUUGACGGGGACCCGCACAAGCGGUGGAGCAUGUGGUUUAAUUCGAAGCAACGCGAAGAACCUUACCAGGUCUUGACAUCCCUUGACAACGCUAGAAAUAGCGCGUUCCCUUCGGGGACAAGGUGACAGGUGGUGCAUGGUUGUCGUCAGCUCGUGUCGUGAGAUGUUGGGUUAAGUCCCGCAACGAGCGCAACCCUUAUUAUUAGUUGCCAGCAUUCAGUUGGGCACUCUAGUGAGACUGCCGGUGAUAAACCGGAGGAAGGUGGGGAUGACGUCAAAUCAUCAUGCCCCUUAUGACCUGGGCUACACACGUGCUACAAUGGCAUAUACAACGAGUCGCUAACCCGCGAGGGUACGCUAAUCUCUUAAAGUAUGUCUCAGUUCGGAUUGUAGGCUGCAACUCGCCUACAUGAAGUCGGAAUCGCUAGUAAUCGCGGAUCAGAACGCCGCGGUGAAUACGUUCCCGGGUCUUGUACACACCGCCCGUCACACCAUGAGAGUUUGUAACACCCAAAGCCGGUGG
rnacentral:rRNA from 1 species